rnacentral:rRNA from 1 species
UACGGAGGGAGCUAGCGUUGUUCGGAAUUACUGGGCGUAAAGCGCGCGUAGGCGGCUUUGUAAGUUAGAGGUGAAAGCCCGGGGCCCAACCCCGGAAUUGCCUUUAAGACUGCAUCGCUAGAAUCCAGGAGAGGUGAGUGGAAUUCCGAGUGUAGAGGUGAAAUUCGUAGAUAUUCGGAAGAACACCAGUGGCGAAGGCGGCUCACUGGACUGGUAUUGACGCUGAGGUGCGAAAGCGUGGGGAGCAAACAGG